UCAAAAGACCCGGGAGACGCCUGGUGAUGGCCACUGCAGGAAUCAUCAUGAGCCGGGCAGACUCCCCAGUUUGUGUCUAUUAGCAGUGUCACUGCCCGUCGCUGACAGGAGUCCCGGCAGGAAACAGCUGACACUCAGAUUGGGCCAUUUGAGGAGAGUACAGUGAAACCCAUGUAUGAAGGAGGCAGCAGGGUGAAGGGAGAGCAGAGCCAGGAGCUGGGUCUCUAACAUCCAUUUAAGUCCUACAAUUCAGUCCUGUAAAUUCAUGUGAGCUCUACGUAGACUUCAGACAGCUGAAAUUUGGGGGCUUUGAUUAAACCAACAGAACUCAUGGGGUGUAAACUUGAUUUUUGUGCCCCACUACCCCUUUACAUUGAAUCAGAGGCUGAAGUUCUAUCCCUGAAUGAAAACUCAGGCAGUCCCAUGGCUUUUGUCAUCAUGCCCAGUGUACGUGAGGAGUCUCAGGAGUUGUGAAAUCUGUGUUUACAAUUUCUGUGUAAAUCCCCAUAUAGUCUACCGUGGGAUAUAGCAUCUACGUGUUCCUGCUGCCUCAA